UACGUAGGGUGCGAGCGUUGUCCGGAAUUAUUGGGCGUAAAGAGCUUGUAGGCGGUCUGUCGCGUCUGCUGUGAAAAUCCGGGGCUCAACCCCGGACUUGCAGUGGGUACGGGCAGACUAGAGUGUGGUAGGGGAGACUGGAAUUCCUGGUGUAGCGGUGGAAUGCGCAGAUAUCAGGAGGAACACCGGUGGCGAAGGCGGGUCUCUGGGCCGUUACUGACGCUGAGGAGCGAAAGCGUGGGGAGCGAACAGG
rnacentral:rRNA from 1 species